AAGUCGUAACAAGGUCUCCGUUGGUGAACCAGCGGAGGGAUCAUUAGUGAGACUUAGCGCUCCAACCCUUGCGAACAUUACCCAUUGCGGCGUUGCUUCGGCGGGCUUGCUGGCGGUCGUGCACUGGUUUUCCAGCGCGCGUCCGCCGGCAGCGCCAAACUCUUCAGUUUUUAGUGGAAAAUCUAUUCUGAGUGGCAAAAACAAAAUAAGCAAAACUUUCAACAACGGAUCUCUUGGUUCUG
rnacentral:misc_RNA from 1 species